AUUGAACGCUGGCGGCAGGCUUAACACAUGCAAGUCGAGCGGGGUGAUGGUGCUUGCACUAUCACUUAGCGGCGGACGGGUGAGUAAUGCUUAGGAAUCUGCCUAUUAGUGGGGGACAACAUCUCGAAAGGGAUGCUAAUACCGCAUACGUCCUACGGGAGAAAGCAGGGGAUCACUUGUGACCUUGCGCUAAUAGAUGAGCCUAAGUCGGAUUAGCUAGUUGGUGGGGUAAAGGCCUACCAAGGCGACGAUCUGUAGCGGGUCGGAGAGGAUGAUCCGCCACACUGGGACGGGGACACGGCCCAGACUCCUACGGGAGGCAGCAGUGGGGAAUAUUGGACAAUGGGGGGAACCCUGAUCCAGCCAUGCCGCGUGUGUGAAGAAGGCCUUAUGGUUGUAAAGCACUUUAAGCGAGGAGGAGGCUCUUUUGGUUAAUACCCAAGAUGAGUGGACGUUACUCGCAGAAUAAGCACCGGCUAACUCUGUGCCAGCAGCCGCCGUAA
rnacentral:rRNA from 1 species